UACGGAGGGAGCUAGCGUUGUUCGGAAUUACUGGGCGUAAAGCGCGCGUAGGCGGUUUUUUAAGUCAGAGGUGAAAGCCUGGAGCUCAACUCCAGAACUGCCUUUGAAACUGGAAAACUUGAAUCUUGGAGAGGUCAGUGGAAUUCCGAGUGUAGAGGUGAAAUUCGUAGAUAUUCGGAGGAACACCAGUGGCGAAGGCGGCUUACUGGACCAUUGUUGACGCUGAGGCACGAAAGCGUGGGGAGCAAACAGG
rnacentral:rRNA from 1 species